rnacentral:rRNA from 1 species
AUUGAACGCUGGCGGCAUGCUUUACACAUGCAAGUCGAACGGCAGCGCGGGCUUCGGCCUGGCGGCGAGUGGCGAACGGGUGAGUAAUGCAUCGGAACGUGCCCAGUAGUGGGGGAUAGCCCGGCGAAAGCCGGAUUAAUACCGCAUACGACCUGAGGGUGAAAGCGGGGGACCGAAAGGCCUCGCGCUAUUGGAGCGGCCGAUGUCGGAUUAGCUAGUUGGUGGGGUAAAGGCUUACCAAGGCGACGAUCCGUAGCUGGUCUGAGAGGACGACCAGCCACACUGGGAUGGGGACACGCCCCAGCCCCCUGCGGGAGGCAGCAGGGGGGAAUUUGGGACAAGGGGGGCAACCCUGACCCAGCCUUGCCGCGGGGGGAAAGACGCCCUUGGGGUUGAAAACCGUUUUGUUUGGGGAAAAAACCCUCUGGGCUAAUCCCCCGGGGGGAUGAGGGUACGGGAAAAAAAAGCACCGGCUAACUCCGUG